rfam:Rattus norvegicus chromosome X, whole genome shotgun sequence.
GGGGAUUUAGCUCAGUGGUAGAGCGCUUGCCUAGGAGGCACAAGGGCCUGGGUUCGGUCCCCAGCUCCG